UUUUUGUAGUCCAGAUCUGACACUGGACUGCUGUGAACAGGUUAUGCUGCUGCUUCUUUUCCAAAGCAGUAAUCUUGCUACUCCUUUAAAUUUACCAGGCUGUUUGGUGCAGAUGUGUCAGUGCUGCAAGUAUGGCAAACCUGGGGCACAGCUGCAGCUUGGUCAGUCAUUUUGCAUGUGAGGAAAGUCAGGAAUAAACAAUUGAGCAUAAAGUCUCA
rnacentral:lncRNA from 1 species